GGGUUGUGAGGUUAAGCGACUAAGCGUACACGGUGGAUGCCCUGGCAGUCAGAGGCGAUGAAGGACGUGCUAAUCUGCGAUAAGCGUCGGUAAGGUGAUAUGAACCGUUAUAACCGGCGAUUUCCGAAUGGGGAAACCCAGUGUGAUUCGUCACACUAUCAUUAACUGAAUCCAUAGGUUAAUGAGGCGAACCGGGGGAACUGAAACAUCUAAGUACCCCGAGGAAAAGAAAUCAACCGAGAUUCCCCCAGUAGCGGCGAGCGAACGGGGAGCAGCCCAGAGCCUGAAUCAGUGUGUGUGUUAGUGGAAGCGUCUGGAAAGGCGUGCGAUACAGGGUGACAGCCCCGUACACAAAAAUGCACAUACUGUGAGCUCGAUGAGUAGGGCGGGACACGUGGUAUCCUGUCUGAAUAUGGGGGGACCAUCCUCCAAGGCUAAAUACUCCUGACUGACCGAUAGUGAACCAGUACCGUGAGGGAAAGGCGAAAAGAACCCCGGCGAGGGGAGUGAAAAAGAACCUGAAACCGUGUACGUACAAGCAGUGGGAGCACAGAGCAAUCUGUGUGACUGCGUACCUUUUGUAUAAUGGGUCAGCGACUUAUAUUCUGUAGCAAGGUUAACCGAAUAGGGGAGCCGAAGGGAAACCGAGUCUUAACUGGGCGUUAAGUUGCAGGGUAUAGACCCGAAACCCGGUGAUCUAGCCAUGGGCAGGUUGAAGGUUGGGUAACACUAACUGGAGGACCGAACCGACUAAUGUUGAAAAAUUAGCGGAUGACUUGUGGCUGGGGGUGAAAGGCCAAUCAAACCGGGAGAUAGCUGGUUCUCCCCGAAAGCUAUUUAGGUAGCGCCUCGUGAAUUCAUCUCCGGGGGUAGAGCACUGUUUCGGCAAGGGGGUCAUCCCGACUUACCAACCCGAUGCAAACUGCGAAUACCGGAGAAUGUUAUCACGGGAGACACACGGCGGGUGCUAACGUCCGUCGUGAAGAGGGAAACAACCCAGACCGCCAGCUAAGGUCCCAAAGUCAUGGUUAAGUGGGAAACGAUGUGGGAAGGCCCAGACAGCCAGGAUGUUGGCUUAGAAGCAGCCAUCAUUUAAAGAAAGCGUAAUAGCUCACUGGUCGAGUCGGCCUGCGCGGAAGAUGUAACGGGGCUAAACCAUGCACCGAAGCUGCGGCAGCGACACUAUGUGUUGUUGGGUAGGGGAGCGUUCUGUAAGCCUGUGAAGGUGUACUGUGAGGUAUGCUGGAGGUAUCAGAAGUGCGAAUGCUGACAUAAGUAACGAUAAAGCGGGUGAAAAGCCCGCUCGCCGGAAGACCAAGGGUUCCUGUCCAACGUUAAUCGGGGCAGGGUGAGUCGACCCCUAAGGCGAGGCCGAAAGGCGUAGUCGAUGGGAAACAGGUUAAUAUUCCUGUACUUGGUGUUACUGCGAAGGGGGGACGGAGAAGGCUAUGUUGGCCGGGCGACGGUUGUCCCGGUUUAAGCGUGUAGGCUGGUUUUCCAGGCAAAUCCGGAAAAUCAAGGCUGAGGCGUGAUGACGAGGCACUACGGUGCUGAAGCAACAAAUGCCCUGCUUCCAGGAAAAGCCUCUAAGCAUCAGGUAACAUCAAAUCGUACCCCAAACCGACACAGGUGGUCAGGUAGAGAAUACCAAGGCGCUUGAGAGAACUCGGGUGAAGGAACUAGGCAAAAUGGUGCCGUAACUUCGGGAGAAGGCACGCUGAUAUGUAGGUGAAGUCCCUCGCGGAUGGAGCUGAAAUCAGUCGAAGAUACCAGCUGGCUGCAACUGUUUAUUAAAAACACAGCACUGUGCAAACACGAAAGUGGACGUAUACGGUGUGACGCCUGCCCGGUGCCGGAAGGUUAAUUGAUGGGGUUAGCGCAAGCGAAGCUCUUGAUCGAAGCCCCGGUAAACGGCGGCCGUAACUAUAACGGUCCUAAGGUAGCGAAAUUCCUUGUCGGGUAAGUUCCGACCUGCACGAAUGGCGUAAUGAUGGCCAGGCUGUCUCCACCCGAGACUCAGUGAAAUUGAACUCGCUGUGAAGAUGCAGUGUACCCGCGGCAAGACGGAAAGACCCCGUGAACCUUUACUAUAGCUUGACACUGAACAUUGAGCCUUGAUGUGUAGGAUAGGUGGGAGGCUUUGAAGUGUGGACGCCAGUCUGCAUGGAGCCGACCUUGAAAUACCACCCUUUAAUGUUUGAUGUUCUAACGUUGACCCGUAAUCCGGGUUGCGGACAGUGUCUGGUGGGUAGUUUGACUGGGGCGGUCUCCUCCUAAAGAGUAACGGAGGAGCACGAAGGUUGGCUAAUCCUGGUCGGACAUCAGGAGGUUAGUGCAAUGGCAUAAGCCAGCUUGACUGCGAGCGUGACGGCGCGAGCAGGUGCGAAAGCAGGUCAUAGUGAUCCGGUGGUUCUGAAUGGAAGGGCCAUCGCUCAACGGAUAAAAGGUACUCCGGGGAUAACAGGCUGAUACCGCCCAAGAGUUCAUAUCGACGGCGGUGUUUGGCACCUCGAUGUCGGCUCAUCACAUCCUGGGGCUGAAGUAGGUCCCAAGGGUAUGGCUGUUCGCCAUUUAAAGUGGUACGCGAGCUGGGUUUAGAACGUCGUGAGACAGUUCGGUCCCUAUCUGCCGUGGGCGCUGGAGAACUGAGGGGGGCUGCUCCUAGUACGAGAGGACCGGAGUGGACGCAUCACUGGUGUUCGGGUUGUCAUGCCAAUGGCACUGCCCGGUAGCUAAAUGCGGAAGAGAUAAGUGCUGAAAGCAUCUAAGCACGAAACUUGCCCCGAGAUGAGUUCUCCCUGACUCCUUGAGAGUCCUGAAGGAACGUUGAAGACGACGACGUUGAUAGGCCGGGUGUGUAAGCGCAGCGAUGCGUUGAGCUAACCGGUACUAAUGAACCGUGAGGCUUAACCUUACAACGCCGAAGGUGUUU
rnacentral:rRNA from 1 species